GAUGAACGCUGGCGGCGUGCCUAAUACAUGCAAGUCGAGCGAACAGACGAGGAGCUUGCUCCUUUGACGUUAGCGGCGGACGGGUGAGUAACACGUGGGUAACCUACCUAUAAGACUGGGAUAACUUCGGGAAACCGGAGCUAAUACCGGAUAAUAUUUCGAACCGCAUGGUUCGAUAGUGAAAGAUGGCUUUGCUAUCACUUAUAGAUGGACCUGCGCCGUAUUAGCUAGUUGGUAAGGUAACGGCUUACCAAGGCAACGAUACGUAGCCGACCUGAGAGGGUGAUCGGCCACACUGGAACUGAGACACGGUCCAGACUCCUACGGGAGGCAGCAGUAGGGAAUCUUCCGCAAUGGGCGAAAGCCUGACGGAGCAACGCCGCGUGAGUGAUGAAGGUCUUCGGAUCGUAAAACUCUGUUAUUAGGAAAGAACAAACGUGUAAGUAACUAUGCACGUCUUGACGGUACCUAAUCAGAAAGCCACGGCUAACUACGUG
rnacentral:rRNA from 1 species